AUGACACUGCUCUCUGAAAAAUUCACACGACCGUUCCCGCUGCCGACAGUGGCUGUGAGCAGAGCCCAGGUGCAGCAGGAGCCGUCGGCAGUGACCAGCGAGGGCACCGGCAUCAACAUCACCUGCUCACUUCCCCAUACAGAGCGCAAUGAUUACAUCUACUGGUACCGUCAGUUCCCGGGCCGGGGCCCCGCAUUCAUCGGGUUCAUUCACGAAGGCUCCAAGGAGUUGCAUGACUUGGCUGGGCAGCUGUCGGUGUCGGCAGACCGCCGCUCCAGCACCCUGCGGCUCGCCCGGCCCCGGUACGGGGACGCGGCGGUGUACUACUGCGCCGUGAACCCACGGGAAGCGAAGCCGAGGCUGCGGCAGAGCAAGAACCACAUCGGGCGGGGCGGGGCGGGGCGGGCGGGGACACAGUGCCGUCCGGACCCGCAGGGAGCGCUGCCACUCCUUCCGCCGGGGCCGCCUCUCCCCUCCGGGCCCCGCUCGAGCUGACAUUGCUGACAUGGAACAUGUCCCUCGCACAGCUCGGCAUCCCCCAGAAUAAGGGAUUCCAGCUGCACACCUUCAUGAGCACGGCAUGUCGAGAUCACAGACACCUUCAAGUGGUCCCCACUGUGGCUCUCUUUUAAGACCAUGAGCUUGUGUGACAGGAUUCGGGAUCUUUGGAAGUGAGGUCCAGGACUACUUUUUAAUUAAACCCCCACAGACAGCUCAGGUCCCCACAGCCUCAGGAUGGGAUGGCAGAGAGAAUAAGGAAAGGUAAAUGCAAGACCAAGAACUCAUGGGCUGAAACAAUAUAUAAGGCAAGCUCAAUGACAAGCAUGCAAGUUAACCAAAACAAUGAAUUCACUCACUACAUCUAAUCAGUA